rnacentral:tRNA from 1 species
UCCCUCUAUCCCCAACG